CGGGCGCGCGCUCUGCUUAAAUUGACAGAAACUGAAAGUAUAACGAUGGCCAGUUCAGUUUUGCUUCAUGUCGCCAAAUAUUAACUUGGUGUCUCCGAGCAGGUUGUGUGAGGUAUAGGUUAAAGAUGACAUAGGUUAGGGAUUGGUCUGGAAGGAAUGGGUUUAUGUAUAUUCAUAAAACUUCCUACGGGCUUAAAAAAAUAACCUAAACGAAACCAACCUCCACCCCUCCUUCAAAUGUGCAUUUUAAUGCUGUUUGCAGCAUGGGAAAUAAGGAUUUAGUUAAUUCUGGGGAAACUUGAGCAGCCGGUUCUGAAGAUGGCAGACUACAUAGAUUUCCUUUCACGAGAAAUGCAGCGGGCAGGGGUGCUUUAUCCACACGUGCUGCGUGCGUGUGUGAAGAAAUACCACACACAACCCGAACAUCCUGCCAUGAAACCGGCCUCUCCGUGCUGUGAAUUUUUCCACAGUAACACAGGAGGGGAUGGUUCAUCUGGAGCCGAUCAAUAUUCCGUCCUGGCAUUUUUGGGGAGAAGAUCACGCUGCGCGUUAGAGAAGCGUGCGCUUGCGUGCAUGGGCAUGCAUACAGACACACACACACACGUGUGCUGCUUGCAGCUCCGGCCUUUGGAGCAGCAGAUGAACUCUGGAGUGUUAGGCACAGAUCCUCCUCUUGGUGCACGGCAGCAUUUGGCCUCCUGACAUUGUGCUCCAUUAACUGGAGACUUUCUUUCCCUCCUUGGCUCAGCUUUGAGCUGGCAGCAGGCGCUAUGUACCGUUGUGGUUUGAGAGCUCAGCUCUGUUUGACGUAAGCAGAACAUUUCUUAGUUUCACCACUCUGUCUGCUUCUGGCUUCCUAAGAAGCAAGGUGGGAUACCUGGUGGGGGAAAUCCACUUCAAGUAGUUUUAUUUAGCAUUUAUUUAUUUAUUCUUGCUGCUUCCUGUUGUUUGCUACGAGGUACAUUUUCCAGAGAGAGCUGGAGAGCAAGGGGAGGGGAAGCUCAGAGUCCUGGCUAAUUAUUUUUGGUGUGGGUGCCAGGAAUGGCUGUGAAUUAUCUUUCCCAACAUCAGAGGCUGAGUGGGGUUGUAGGCUGCUGCCUGAUGAGCACCUCUGUGUGAUGUAACCCUGCAUUGAGUAACUUGGCUAUUUUUAUGCUCUUACUACAUCUUAAAUUAGCAGCGUUUGUAUUGCUGCAUAAAAGGCUGUGGGUCUGAUCUCUUGUAUUAAUGGGUGCCUGGAUUAAUAACGUGUCUAUUGCAGGACUGCUGCUUAUUUCAUGUAUAAUAGGAAAAGUGGGGUCUCUUCAGACUGCUGAGUUCGCAUAAUAGCUCUGCUGGCAAACUGGUGCUUGUUGGGAUGCUAAAAGAGCCUGGGAGGCUGAUGUGAAACAUGUAUUUCCCUACGAGUCUAAUUAGGGCUGUGGGAGGAGAGAGCAUUGGUGUUGCAGAUCCAGCCUCCCACUGGCUUACAUACAAAACUGAAAGUAUGACUCUUUCCCCCGCCUUCUGCCUGUCUCAAAGGAAAGGCCACGGUUUCCUAAUGAAUACAUGGUGAGCAGUUCUGUCCGUAGCACACUGUGAUGAGUAAGUUGAAUAGUGCAUGGACAAACACCAUGAUGCUGCUCACGAAAUUAUUGAGACAAUUCGGUGGGUCUGUGAAGAAAUCCCAGAUCUCAAGCUUGCUAUGGAAAACUAUGUUUUAAUUGACUAUGAUACAAAAAGCUUUGAGAGCAUGCAGAGGCUUUGUGACAAGUACAACCGAGCCAUCGAUAGUAUUCACCAGUUGUGGAAGGGAACCACCCAACCGAUGAAACUGAACACUCGUCCCUCCAACGGGCUCCUCCGGCACAUCCUGCAGCAGGUUUAUAACCACUCGGUGACUGAUCCUGAGAAACUGAACAAUUAUGAGCCUUUUUCCCCAGAGGUUUACGGAGAAACUUCCUUUGACUUAGUGGCCCAAAUGAUAGAUGAAAUAAAAAUGACAGAGGAUGAUUUGUUUGUUGACUUGGGCAGUGGUGUGGGUCAGGUGGUGCUUCAAGUGGCUGCAGCCACCAACUGCAAACAUCACUACGGUGUGGAGAAAGCUGAUAUUCCAGCCAAAUAUGCUGAGACGAUGGACAGAGAGUUCAGAAAGUGGAUGAAAUGGUAUGGGAAAAAACAUGCAGAAUACACACUGGAAAGAGGUGACUUCCUCUCAGAAGAAUGGAGAGAGAGAAUUGCAAACACAAGUGUUAUUUUUGUGAAUAAUUUUGCCUUUGGUCCUGAGGUGGAUCACCAACUGAAGGAGCGGUUUGCGAACAUGAAGGAAGGUGGAAGAAUUGUGUCCUCAAAACCUUUUGCACCUCUGAAUUUUAGAAUUAACAGUCGAAACUUGAGUGAUAUUGGCACUAUAAUGAGAGUUGUGGAGCUAUCACCACUGAAAGGGUCUGUGUCAUGGACCGGGAAACCAGUUUCUUACUACCUGCAUACUAUUGACCGAACCAUACUUGAAAACUAUUUUUCUAGUCUCAAAAAUCCAAAACUCAGGGAGGAACAAGAGGCAGCUAGACGUCGUCAACAAAGAGAAAACAAGAGCAACACAACUACUCCAACGAAGGUUCAAGAAAAUAAGGAUUCUGGUGCUGAAGAAGAAAAGGCUGCAGCAAAUUCUGUUAAAAAGCCAUCUCCCUCCAAAGCCCGGAAGAAAAAGCUGAGUAAAAAAGGAAGGAAAAUGGCAGGCAGGAAACGGGGACGUCCCAAGAAAAUGAACACUGCAAACACAGAGCGCAAGACCAAGAAGAACCAAACUGCACUAGAACUUCUGCACGCUCAAACUGUUUCACAGACAUCUUCAUCCUCUCCUCAGGAUGCAUACAAGUCACCUCAUAGUCCAUAUUACCAACUACCUCCUAAAGUGCAACGGCAUUCGUCUAACCAGCUACUGGUGACACCUACCCCACCUGCACUACAGAAGCUGCUAGACUCUUUUAAGAUCCAGUACAUGCAGUUCAUGGCAUAUAUGAAAACUCCUCAGUAUAAAGCAAGUCUGCAACAGUUACUGGAGCAGGAAAAGGAAAAGAAUGCUCAGUUGCUGGGGACAGCACAGCAGUUAUUCACCCACUGCCAGGCACAGAAAGAGGAAAUCAAACGUCUUUUUCAGCAGAAACUUGAUGAGUUGGGAGUUAAAGCUCUAACAUACAAUGACCUGAUUCAGGCUCAGAAGGAGAUCUCUGCUCACAAUCAGCAACUGAAAGAACAGACGAAACAGCUGGAGAAGGAUAACAGUGAACUCAGGAACCAGAGCUUACAGCUGCUUAAGGCACGGUGUGAAGAACUGAAGCUGGAUUGGUCAACCUUGUCACUGGAGAACUUGCUGAAAGAGAAGCAGGCAUUGAAGAAUCAGAUUUCUGAGAAACAAAAGCACUGUUUGGAAUUGCAGAUCAGCAUUGUGGAACUUGAGAAGAGUCAAAGACAGCAGGAGCUUAUGCAGCUGAAAUCAUACACGCCGUCUGACGAGUCCCUGUCAGUACAGCUACACAACAAAACCCAUUUGAGCCGUGAUCCUGAGGCUGAUCACGGCAGGUUCCAACUGGAGCUGGAAUGCUCCAAGUUUCCUAUGCCCCACAUCAAUGGCAUGAGCCCUGAACUGUCCAUGAACGGCCAUGCUACUCCCUAUGAAAUUCACAACGCCUUUAGCAGGCCCUCUUCCAAGCAGAACACCCCUCAGUACACAACCUCUCACCUGGACCAAGAAAUAGUUCCAUGUACCCCAAACCACAGCAGCAGACAGAAGGCAGACAAGAUGACAAGCUUGUCCUUACCUGACUAUACCAGGUUUUCCCCAGCUAAAAUAGCACUAAGGAGACACUUGAAUCAAGACCAUGGAGUCAAUGGAAAAGCAACAGCUAAUGAGAUACAGAGAGCUGAUCAUGUCAAAGAGAAUGGCCUUACAUACCCAAGCCCUGGUAUUUCAAAUGGCAUAAAGCUGAGUCCUCAGGAAACUCGGCCCUCUUCCCCAGCGGCCUUACCAGUUGCAGGCGAGAAGGUUUUGAGAGAGAGAACCUCUGUGAGUAAUGGAGAAACUAUCACCAGCCUACCUAUCAGUAUUCCUCUCAGCACAGUGCAGCCCAAUAAACUCCCUGUUAGUAUCCCUCUGGCCAGCGUAGUCCUACCUAGCCGUGUUGAGAAGGUGAGAAGCACACCUAGCCCAGUUCAUCAGAGUAGAGACUCAUCGACACUUGAAAAGCAGAUUGGUGCUAGUUCUCAUAAUGGCGUAAGCAAUGCUGCUGGAAACAAGCCACUGGCUUUGGCUACCUCAGGUUUUUCUUACUCUUCUGGCUCCGUGGCAGUCAAUGGAAAUCUUACAAACAGCCCAGCCCAUCUUAACCAUAGUGUUGAUCAGGCAGCUCUGGACGACUCUGGGAGUCUGUUUAACUCAGUAGGGUCUCGGAGUUCCACUCCACAACAUCCUUUGCUAAUGAUGCAGUCAAGGAACUCUGGGCAAAACUCCCCUGCUCACCAGCACUCAACAAGCCCCAGGUUAAAUGGCACAUCCCAGAGCCUGGUAGGGGUAUUGCAAUAUGCAGAUGCUCAGAAGAUGUUUGCCGAAGGAACAAAGGGGGAUCUUCAGUCUGAUGCAGCGUUUUCAGAUCCUGAGAACGAGGCCAAGAGAAGAAUCAUCUUUACAAUCUCUCCUAAUACAGGACAUGUAAAACAAUCCCCUUCCAACAAGCACAGUCCUCUGCCCAUGAGCGCUCGGCUGGACUGUGGCCAAGCACACGCGCAGGAUGGGAAGAAGCGAGGCCGGCGGAAGAGAUCCUCCACUGGGAAUCUCAGCGGGAACUCCGGGGUCUCCCCUAAACGCAAAUCCUUACCUACUGUGUCUGGACUCUUUACGCAACCGUCGGGUUCACCGCUCAAUAUCAACUCCAUGGUCAAUAACAUUAACCAGCCUUUAGAAAUAACAGCCAUUUCCUCUCCUGAAAACUCCCUGAAGAACUCUCCUGUUCCUUACCAGGACAACGACCAGCCCCCGGUACUGAAAAAGGAAAAGCCCCUGCUUCAGACCAACGGUGUUCAUUACUCCCCUCUAACGUCAGAUGAAGAGCAGGGAUCUGAAGAUGAGCACAACAGCAGCAGAAUUGAGAGGAAAAUUGCAACAAUCUCAUUGGAAAGCAAAUCUCCACAGAAGACUGUUGAAAAUGGUGGCAGCUUAGCUGGGAGGAAACAAGCACAAAGCAACGAGAACAUGAAUAGCAGUAAAUGGAAAUCUACUUUUUCACCAAUAUCUGACAUCAACCUGACCAAAACUACAGAUAGUCCAUUGCAGUCGGUUUCAUCUCUGAGCCAGAAUUCGCUGUUUGCCUUCAGGCCCUCCACUGAGGAUAGCUUUGCCAUGGAUGCCAAGAUCACGGCACACCCCAGGAAAAACAUUGCCAUGCCCUCCUCCGGGGCGGACGGGCUCAGCCCCAGUACAAACUCCACUAAUGGAUUUCCGUACAAUGGUGGACUGUCAAGUGAUAUGGGUUUACACAGCUUUAUCGAUGGUGCUUCUCUUCCACAUAAGGCUUCAGACGUGACGACUUCCAACUGCUCCCUGGGUUUCCAGUCGCAGCGAAGCAAAGAUGUGGGGGUAUCGGAAACGAAUCCUUUCUUGAACAAGAGGCAACUCGAAGGCCUCAACGGCACGAAAGGAGAAGACUUAAAUCGGGCAGGGGUCAAAGGCAAAGAGAUCAGCGAGAUCAGCAUCCGCACUGGGGGUUCUUCAGACAAAAACUCUUUGCAGCAUAACGGAAAGGUUGGCAAAGGACGGGACCGAGAUGUGGAGUUUAAAAACGGCCACAACCUUUUCAUUUCUGCUGCUGUUUCCUCUGGUGGCCUUCUGAAUGGUAAAAGCCUUUCUACUGCUGUUUCUUCAGCAGGCAACCCAGCAUCUUCUGUUCAGACACACCAUCCUUUCCUAAACACUUUGACCACUGGAUCGCAGUUCCCCCUCGGCCCCAUGGCCUUGCAAGCAAACCUCAACUCGGUGACAAAUUCCUCAGUAUUGCAGUCCUUAUUUAAUUCAAUGCCAGCUGCUGCCAGUCUGGUCCACGUGUCAUCAGCUGCAACCAGACUGACUAAUUCUCACACUAUGGGGAACUUCUCUCCUGGGGUUACAGGUGGAACAGUUGGAGGUAGGCAGAACUCUUUCUCUGGUAUAAGACAGGGCCUAAAGGAAAGUCUGACACUGCCUCUCCAGGGGUGAAACCCUUUCAUUUCUGCAGGAUGUGAAGCAGAUCUGUCCCACAUAACCAGUCUCCUCUAUCUCUCGGAAAUGCUAGGAUGAGUUCAGUUCCCCACAGUGAAAUCUCAUGAGCUUUGUCUACUAGAUGAGCUUGUUGUAUCACCUUUAAUGAAACAAUACACCCAGACUUUGUGAUUUCAUAAUGUGUGCUUGUUCAGAUGUUGCUGUGUUGGAACCAGCUUGGGUCCGCCUGCAGGUAAAAGAUUUAACUUGUCCUGGUACCAAGUUGAGGAUCUCUAACUUUGACAACUUGAGUAAAGGUUGAGAUUAGGCCUUGAAUGGAAUUAGCAUGAUCCAGGAAGAGCAAAACAUCAGUGCCUCUUCAGAGGAGAUGGUGUUGGGGAAUUGCGUAGCAUUCUGGCUCUUGAAUGGACAUGAAGAGCAUUUCUUUGCCAGGAAGGGCAAUGCCAUAUGCACCUUGCACUUCUGGGAUUCUGCACAGGCUUGGCUUCUGUGGCCCAAACCGGAGACAAGCUGGCAGGACUAGAAGAUAGUCUGAACCUGCCGUUACUAAGUGUCCAAGGCAGUUUUUCUUACCUGUCCAUAAUCAUUCAGGCACCAUGUCGGGAAAUCCUAACUCUUACAUCUCUCAGCACAUAGAUUUGCUGGAAAUACAAUCUCCCCUCUGCUGCCCUGUAAGUGGGAAAGCAGGAGGGUGGGGAGGGAAGAGCAGCAAUUUGAGUCUCCAGCUAAACAACUCUAAAGACCACGUAAUCUCAUCAAAAGUCUACCCGUGUGGUAUAGAACUGACAGUUCUUGGGUCUGACCAUUUUUCCUCGUGGCAUUUAGAGGUUGGCAGUAGGAAAGGUAACUAGGAUUUCUACCUCAACCCAUUGUGACCUAUGCAAGGACAACGUGGACCAACUUCACUCGGCUUCCACUGAAAGGUGCUCACCUGGCCUGUGCAGGGGUUUCUACUCUCUUACUACUGGACAAAAUAAAAACAUAAAAAGACCUAAACGACAGAGAAAAGAUUUACUGUGAAUCUGAGUUAAAACAAAAAAAAAAAAAAAAGGGAAAAAAAGGAAAAAAAAAAAAAAAGAGCAAAAGAAAUGCUUAAAGCUCCAGUUUGUAUUGUUGAUAGUUUAGAUAAAGUAUUUAUCUUUUUUUUAAAGUGAAAACGAUUUUGACUUAUUUUAUUCCACCUAGAAUCAUAAACACAACUUAUUAUUAAAUUUUCUGAUUAAUAAAGGACUGGCACACCAGCAGAGAUGUAAAGAGCCUCCUCUCGGUGCUAUUUCAUCCGUCAGAACUGUGCCUCUAGUUUGAAUCCUUGGUGCUGAACUUGGAGGGUUGAGCAAUGCCAAACCCAGUUCUCAGAAGGGUCUGCAGUUUAUUUAUUCACCUUGCUCUGUUCAUAUACCAAAAGCCAUUUGGUUUGCAGCAGUAGGAGCUACAGAGAAAGGCAGGCUUCUAAUUAAAGCUUUGUUUUAAUUGGAACUCUUUUAACUGAGGGGAUUUAACUGUGUUCAUUGCCAACCAGAACUCGGAUUCCCCUCUGGGGUGGCAGCUAAGAGUCCCUGGGGUGGCCCAGGCGAGCUCCACCAGCGCAGGCACCUUUGAAAGAAGAAAUUCCAAGUCCUGCCCCAUUCAAACUACUUCACUGGGCCAUUUGCCGUUGCUGGUGGCACUCAAGUCACUGUGAAUUUUGGUAGUUAGUCUGGUACCUUGUUUUGGGAUAUCAUUGGCAUAUGAACAGGGUGUGUGAUCACUGGUAUUGGUCAGGCCCUUGCUACAACGUUGGGAAGACUGAACACAGGGCUUCUGUCCUGGUGCAGGUAGCAGAUUUUCUCAGCUUGCUGGUUUUUGUUCCAAGUAUAAUGUAUUUUGUUAAUAGGGUUUUGAUACUUGAGUCAGAAAUGGAUUAACUGUGUACAUUGAUGGACAAAGUGCAUUUUGCUUUUGUAUUUCCUUGCUUUAAGUAGGUCUAAAUGGUAGUUCACAAAAACACCCUGAUCUCGCCUACGUGCUGCCACACAAUCCGACUGGUGCAGUUCUUGUUUUGUGACUUGGUGUUCUGUGUACAGAAAGGGCUGCUCCGAGCAGCAGCUGUAUUUUAUAGAGAUGUGAUGAGAAAAAUAUAAAUUUCAUAUACUUUUAUUUCAUUUAUUUUUAGAUUGUACAAUGCACAGUAAACUUGUAAAAACUUAUUUAUUCGAGUGCACAAAGGGAGGAGGAGGAUGACCCAUUAAGUAGAGAUCACGCUGGGCUGUGCUUCAGACUGGCCCAGAUACCAGUAAAGGAAACUACAAUCAAAGAAGGGGAAUUGCAACAGCAAAAUGAUGUUUAAGCUUUGGGGAACAUCUGCUUGCCAGCCCUGUGCUCCAAGGGGCAGCACUGACUGCUCUGCAUUGGAGUGCUUGCUGUCCUGGAAUCCCAUCCAGGUUGGUAGUGCUCCCCGUGGAGUCUCCCACCUCCAGCAGUCGGGCAUUCCCCUCGGCCUUGAGCACCCCAUGGUCACAAAGAGCUGGGCUGAACACGUGCAUUAGCUGCUUAACUUCUGCCUCAGGGUUUGAAGUCAGCAUGAGACCUCUGCCCAGUGCGCUCCCUCGUGCGCUCACUCCUGCUCCCUGGCUCCAGGAGGAAUGGCUGUGAGCGCUGUGCUGGUGUGUUCAAGAGUGGUCCUUGAACUCUACCGGCUCCUACAGAUUUCAGUGAGGCCCUUUUCUCUGUACCUCAUCCCUGGCAAUCUUAGUAGAGAUCUAGGACAAAGUGCAGUUAUUCUCUUCAUUCCCAAGCGUGUCUUCCAUAGGCAGCCUUUGUGCGUGGAAACUGUUGAUCUGAGUGUGCCGCCUUACUCGCUGGAAAGGGAAGGGGUUGAUAGCCCUGGAAAUUAGGGACAUUUUGGAAUCGUUUUCUGCUUUGCGUGUGGGAGAGGAUUUGACAGCGGUGCGCCCUGCUGAGUUACUAACAGCAAGAUGGAAACCUGGAAAAGGGCAAAUAUGCUCAGAGGGUGAGAGCUGAGAAACAUCCAGUAGCUUCUAGUAGAAGCCAUACACAGUUUAUGUCCUGGAAUCCAGGAAGACAAUGUAACCCAGAUGUUUUGCAGCUGGGAGUUGGGCAGUUCCAGCUUCUUCCAGCUCCUUGGGUGACUGGAAGUUGCAGAGCUGCCUUAGCAUCCUUCCCAGCAGGCGGCAGAGUGCUCAGUCUCUGAAGGCUUUAACUUGUAGGCUGUACCAGAGCAAUUGCUGGAGGGCGGAAUUGCAGCGGCCUUAAUUCUGUCUCCCCCCUAUCAUUUGUAUCCCUGAUGAGAAAGAUGAGGACAUCCAAGUAGAAGCUUUUAAUCACUGCUUUUAUCAGGUCCUUUUCUGAAAAGGGACCAAGAUUCGGUGUUCGUUGGACCUUUCACGUUCCCCUUCAUCCCAAACCACAAAAGACAUCCAGGAAGAGAACUCAUCCAUUGUCACUUGUUCUGUAUGGGGAGGGUUCACUUGUGCUCAUAGCCAAGGUGUGCGCAGGACAGCAGCAGAUGCCUGUUUGGAGAAGGACCUGACGCAAGGGCUCCGUUGAACCCGCUGUGCUCUCCAACGCCUGCUCAAUGCCUGUAUCAGCCAGCGCUCCUCAGCUGGAGAGGAGGGCCAGCUCCUUGUGAUGGGAAUCACUUGCUUUGCCCUGAGCUUCACAGCAAUUCAGCAAUCAGUGUCUGGGGAGCAAGAUGGAACUGUCAGUCAUAGUUUGGUGGUGGACUUGGCAUCUGCCUCGUCAUCACCUCAGUGCUGCCAUUCCCAUGACAUAAGGGGUAGAUUGAGAUGAGCUCUGAGGCAGAAGCUCUUCCCUGUGAGGGUGCUGAGGCGCUGGCACAGGGUGCCCAGAGAAGCUGUGGCUGCCCCAUCCCUGGCAGUGUUCAAAGCCAGGCUGGACACAGGGGCUUGGAGCAACCUGCUCUAGUGGAAGGUGUCCCUGCCUGUGGCAGGGGGUUGGAGCUGGAUGAGCUUUAAAGUCUAUUCCAACCCAAACCAGUCUGGGAUUUCAUGACCUGAUGUUUCCGUCUUGGCAGCCCACACUGCAGGAGUCUGGAGCUGCUCUGGCCAUGCCGGUGUCUUCCACCCAUGCCUGGCACUGUUGAUACCUUCCCCUUGUGAUGCACUGUGUAAUUGCAUUGUGUGGCAGCUACAAUCUAAAUCCUUGUAGUAAUUCCUCACUGGGGUGUGCUUCCAGGAAGGUGCCUGAUGAGGUAACGCUUGUGGGGAGCAGGGCUGAGAUGGGAACCAGGAGAGUGCAGGUUCUGGGACUGGUGUCUUAGUGUUGUAUUAUCUGAGAGAUGUUGCCAAGAGAUUUGCAUUGUCGUCUUCCCCACUCCCUGAUCUUCUCUCGCUUUGCCAUAAUCUUGGCCAAAUUCAACUUGUUUCUUCUCUGUUUGCAAAAGGGGAGAGCAUUUACCUUGCUGUGGGGCUGCUGAAGGAAUAGCUUUGAGCUGUUAAGAUCUCAUCCAGAUGGCUACAAGAAUAAGACCCUCAUGACCCUGCUGUAGGAGUGCUGUGCCAGAGGUCUGGAACCUGUUUUCAGUAACUGGAGAUGCUUGUGAGUAGUCAAAGCCAAACAGCCAGUUCCAAAAAGGAAUUCAUUCUGUGUUACCACAUCCUGCUGGGUCCAGUCGUUCCAUGGCUGUCACACAUGUUCCUUCUCCUCUGUGCUGCUGCUGCUGCCAGGGACUUGUCAGGAAGCUCAAAUACAUCUUGGAGCACUUGCAUUGCCAAAAGGAAAGAAGGAACUUCCUGAGUGUUGUGGUGAGCAAAACCUGUGCCCGCUGCUGACUGUCAGGAACCAGCCCUGCUCUCAUCUGGGGAUUUGCUGCCUCUGGCUUGUACUCACCCGGCUCAGUCCACCAAGACCCACCAGGCUCGGAGGCUCCAGAUCUCAACGUGUUCUUUGCUGUGGAUUCAUCACUCAGCAGCGAUUCCUCCAUUAGCCAGGGGAUGAGGGGCACCAGCAGUCUCAUUGCUCUGCUUUUCAUGUAGAUGAAGGAGAAGGUGGGAAGAUGUUGCUGGAGGACUUAGAGGCUGGGGCUGUUGAGACCGCGGUGGUGUGCAGGAGGAUGGUGACAUCGAGCUGUCUCUGCAUCGUCUCUUGGUUUGGUGCAAGUGAGGCUGUUUCCUUUAGGAAGGUGUGGAUCAGUCUAGACAACCAUAUUGAUCGGAAGCAUCUUCACCUCUUAGUUCAGAUUGAGGAUGCAAUGGGAAAGGUGAAGGGGAAAGUGCCAACAUCAGGGAAUGCAGCACAUCCUGGAUGUACAUGGCACCAUCCCCAACUAGUUUCUCCCAAUAGCAGGGACUCAUGUCUCCUUGACCAGAGAAACAGAGAAAUACUUUCUUGUGCUUCCACCUCAUUUCCUUCCUUCCUAAUGGCAACAGCCACUUUACCUUCUAGUGCCUGGUUUGUGCUCACCCUGCCGCUGGCUGGGGUUGGGGUGAAGCUGAAUUCCCCUGUCCCAGGACUGGCUGGUGGGGUGUGCAUGUGGGGAUGAAGGUCAGCUUGUAGGGACUGAACUUGUGGUUGCACCUACAGUCGCUGAAGCACCCAGGCAGGGAGGUUGCAUCACUUGAACGUGAAGGGAGCCAGCGGUCACUGGUUUUGUGAGUCAAGAGCUUUCAAAUCCCCAGGGCUUGACACUCCUCAGUCUGAAGCUCACCCAGCCCAGUUACUUAAUCUCGGUGUUGAGUAGCUUUCUUCUUUCUUUAGUCCAGCUUAAUACUUGAGCAAGUAACUUCUCUAUUUGAAAUCUGCUGAGCAAAGAGGUUUCAGGCUUGGUGAGCUCUUCCCUUGCAUCUGAAUCACAUUUCAAAAUGCUUCAGUAUCACUUGGCCGUCGGGGCCGCUGUGUGUAGGUGCCUUCGCCCCGCUGUGGGCAAGAGGUUCCUUCUGAGAGGUUUGGUGACACUUCUUCAUCCUCCUUCUUCAGGGGUUGGGUGAGGUGACCUUUAAAGGUCCCUUCCAACCCAAACUACUCUCUGAUUCUCUGUAGAGAUGUAUGUGGAAUGCUCGAUGGAGUCUGAGGGCUAUGGACAGGCAGCUCAGGCUCACCUCCAGGGACCUGUGUGGUUUGAUUCUGCGAGGAUUGUGGAUUUAGAAAGCAGCAUCUGCUCCCCUGACCUGUUAUGUUUUCUACUUGGAAGAGUGUCCCAGCAGAGGAGAGCCUGCAGGGCUGCAUGGCAGGGGGAGCAUCCGUGGGUGCGGAGGUGGCAUCUGCCGUGGGGUAGGUGAUGGUUUUGGUGGGACACCGUGGCUGUGCAGUUCAUCUCCUCCGAGGCUCUCCAGAGCGCCCACUCUUUGUGACCCUGUGGGGAUAUUGGCACGAGGCCCUGCAGGACCUGCGCCCUCACUCAGCCGGCGGCUCCCUGCCCCGCUCCAGGAGCUGCUGGAAGAGGAGACUCCAGCGCCAGGAGCUUGUUCUUGGGCUGCUGAUUGUGACUCCCCUCCAGACUCAGCCCCCUCCAUGGUCCUUCCUUCCUCGGCCGGUCUGGAGCUGGUGCUGAUCACCUUCAGGCACAGUAACAAAGAUGCUUCCCCAGCCCAGGGUCCCUUUCCCUUGCUGCGGCAGAAGAUGCUCCUUAGGACUGAUGUGAUGUGAUGUGAGGAGGCUUUGGUGGAUCGAGUCCUAGGUACAGCCCCUUUCUGUAUUGAAUUCAGUCUUUCAAUACAGGGUAUGGAAACCUGAACAUUAUGGUUGUGUUUAUUUCUUGGAGAGAGUUAUCCCAACUCACCCAGCUCUUGACAAAUUCUGCUUUCCUUGUUUUGCCUGAGCCAAAAGCAUAAAGAGGAUUAAGCGGUGGGAGCUCCAAAUAAUGAUUCCUUUGGGUAAGGUGUGGAUGUUGUGCAGUGGACUGCAAACCAGCAAGAAUGUGUUUUAAAAUCAAUCACAGUUUGGGGAGAAGAAAAACUGUUCAGUGUUUUAGUGUUUUUGUGAACUAUCCUUGCAGCACUGAGGAGACAUCACAGGAAUGGGUUGGGAAGCUCAGCUCUGCGCUCCCUGUGUGAGUUUUUCACCUUUUACGGCUGUUACAGAGGUUUUUCCUCCUUUUUUUUUGCUCCAACAUUUCCAUAGCUUGCAUGUCAGGUUUUCACUGGAAGAUGGAUUACCAGUUUUAAAGGUGGUGUUGUGCCAUGUUUUAUUUAUCCUUAUGCAUUAUAAAUAUAUAAAUAUCUAUUUAGACUGAGUAUUGCAAGAAAAGAUGCCGUUACUGGGAACUUCAGGGUUUAAACCCAGGACAAAAGAAAGGGAAACACUUCUCCAGUGUAUUUGCUGUUUGUGACCCUGUUUCUGAAGAGGUUUCUGAAGUUUUUCUUGUUCAAAAACAAAAUCACAUCUUAAAAUGCUGAGUUUUUGUGAUGUGAAUCCUGAAGUUCUCAUGUUUGCGACCCCUUGGUUUGCUCAAGGUACACCCGGUCACGUUUCUGGUGCCGUCACAUCACUUUGGAAGGUUUUGUUUCUGGAGCUGAGGAGGAGGAGGCGGAAGGGGCUGAUCCAUCCUGCUUGGCUUUUGUAACCUGUUAAUGUUUUGCAGCGAUCAGUCUCAAAUGAAAUCCCAACUUUUUAGGUCUCUGUUCUACUUCGAGGUUUCAGGAGGGAGAGCCUGCCCCCGCCGAGUGGGCCCUGGAUAGAGAAAGCAGUAGAUGAGGAGGUUGCUGUUGCUCAGGAAUUGAUUAGUAAACUUUUAACUACUAAUAAAAAUCCAUUUUUCAGUGGAUUUUUUAAAAAACCCCAUUUUCUUAGGGCAGUGAUAUGGGAUGUUUCCUAGUGAAUAGGAAUUAGUUUAUAUAAUUUUAGCCUAUUAAAUUGAAUUAUUUAAAAUUCAAACUUCCCCUAAUUUAUCUUUUUUUUUUUUGGUUGUUGUUGUUGGAUUUUUGUUUUAUACUGGUAAGUUGUCCUGUCAUUCCUUUCAUUCUUCCAUAGAAGUAGAGUGAAUUCUUCUGCUGUGUAUAUAUGUAUGUAUAAUAUAUAUAUUUCCACCCUGCCUUUCUAAUUCUCCCCAAUGUAAGAGUUAGGGGUUUUUCUUUUCUCCCCUCCCUCCACUUAAUUUCUUGUGUCUUUACCUUGAUUUGUAAUUGAAACAAUGCUUUGAAGUUUGGUCUUUAUAUUAAAGUGUCUGUAUUUUAA